GAUGACGUCAAGUCAUCAUGGCCCUUACGAGUAGGGCUACACACGUGCUACAAUGGCGCAUACAAAGAGAAGCGACCUCGCGAGAGCAAGCGGACCUCACAAAGUGCGUCGUAGUCCGGAUCGGAGUCUGCAACUCGACUCCGUGAAGUCGGAAUCGCUAGUAAUCGUGGAUCAGAAUGCCACGGUGAAUACGUUCCCGGGCCUUGUACACACCGCCCGUCACACCAUGGGAGUGGGUUGCAAAAGA
rnacentral:rRNA from 1 species